CCUGGGGGAGGGUGAUGGCGUCGGCGGAGCCUCUUGUGCUGCUUGGAGGGUCGAAGCGGCUCCUGGGAGGUUCUGCAGCCAUUUUUAAACAGUAACAAAACAAAUCCAUUCAUAUGAAUCUUAUAGACAAAGAGGCUGCCAAGAAGAGCAGUCUGAAAACGAGAAUGAGAAGCAGCAUUAAAAGACAAAACAAACCAUUGGUCAAAAUCUUUCCCCCUUCUUCCAGAAAGUGUUAAAACUCUUCUCUUUCCACAGUAGAUGGAGGGAGAUAAAGGAGAGAUUAACAGGGACAGGAUUUUCAGGUAGAAAAAUAGAUUAUGUGGAAUUGAAGAAAACAUUGCAUGUGAAAAGUAAAAAGAUAUAAUUA